rnacentral:rRNA from 1 species
UACGGAGGGUGCAAGCGUUAUCCGGAAUCACUGGGUUUAAAGGGUGCGUAGGCGGCUAUUCAAGUCAGAGGUGAAAUCUUGCAGCUUAACUGUAAAAUUGCCUUUGAAACUGGGUAGCUUGAAUGAGGUUGAGGUCAGCGGAAUGUGACAUGUAGCGGUGAAAUGCAUAGAUAUGUCAUAGAACACCAAUUGCGAAGGCAGCUGGCUAGGCCUAAAUUGACGCUGAGGCACGAAAGCGUGGGUAGCGAACAGG